rnacentral:tRNA from 1 species
AUGGGUAUGCUGAAAUUGGUAGACAGGCCCCGCUUAGGACGGGGUGAAAUUUUUCAUA